rnacentral:rRNA from 1 species
UACGGAGGGUGCGAGCGUUAAUCGGAAUUACUGGGCGUAAAGCGCACGCAGGCGGUUUGUUAAGCAAGAUGUGAAAGCCCCGGGCUCAACCUGGGAACUGCAUUUUGAACUGGCGGACUAGAGUCUUGGAGAGGGGGUGGAAUUCCAGGUGGUAGCGGUGAAAUGCGUAGGAGAAUCUGGAGGAACAUCAGUGGCGAAGGCGG